rnacentral:snRNA from 1 species
GUGCUCACUUUGAAAGCACAUAUAGUAAAAUUGGAAUGACACAAGAUUAGCAUGGCUCCUGUGCAAGAAUGACACACAAAUUGGAAGUGUUCCAAUUAAAA